ACUGCUGCAAGCCGUCUUUGGCCAGGCAGCCGCCAACAACCCCGCUUCCGGCCACAGCUGUCCCCUCGGCCGCCAUGGCGCGGGCUCGACCGGGCCCCACGCCCAGUUGCGCUCCGCUCCCUUCGGACGGGCUCGGUUCCUUCCGGCCGCGCUCGGCUCCUCUUCCGGCCGGCCUGGGCUUCUCCGGUCAUACUCGGGUCUCUCCGGCUCUAUUCGGCUCAUGGCUGCGGCGCUCGGCUCUCUCCGUGCCCCGGCCCGUGGGCUCUUUCCGAAGGCCGAAUUCCGCAGAUCUCUGCCGUGCCCCGCCCCUAUGGGCAAGGACCAAUGGCCUCUAUCUGGGCGGGGCCGCUGUUGGACGUCCUGGGCCAAUCCGGGGCGCCGGGGGCCAAUCAGGUGGCGGAGCGGCGAGUGCGCGGGCGAGGCCUAGAACCAAUUACAGAGUCAAACCCAAGAGCAGAAAGUGAAGACUCGCAGCUUGCCGCAGCCCCCUCCUCGGCCUGCGCACCUCACAUUGAGGGCGUCCUGAUUUAAACGCGUGCCUCCUGCAUUUCUGCUUCUGCCCCAGGCUAGAGCGGCAACCAGGAACGCUGGACCCACAGAGAUCUGUGGCAAUAUCUGUCGAACCAUGGUGUUCUGUGGGGAAUCUGACUAGAGUAUUGUUUGAUAACCAGAAAGAAAUCAAAAAUUGGUGAUCACAAGGCUAAUGUCACUUGCUGCAGUGGAAAAUCAUGAUCAUUCUGUUUAAAUCUGAGUCAGUUUUGAGACCUAGAGCCCAUUAAUUGACAAGGCGGCUUGGUUCCUCUCAGGAAGGAUCUUACAAUACCAGCAUCUGAGCAUAUACCAAGAAAUAUUCCUGCAGUCCUUCCCUAAAGGGACCUAGAGCCACUUUAAAAAGUAACUGGGCCGGGCGCGGUGGCUCACGCCUGUACUCCCAGCAUUUUGGGAGGCCGAGGUGGGCGGAUCACUUGAGGUCAGGAGUUUGAGACCAGCCUGGCCAACAUAGCGAAACCCCGUCGCUACUAAAAAUACAAAAAUUAGCCGGGUUUGGUGGCUUGUGCCUGUAAUCCCAGCUACACGGGAGGCUGAAGCAUGAGAAUCUCUUGAACCCAGGCCUUGUUGCAGCGAGCCACUGCACUCCAGCCUGAGUGACAGAGCCAGACUCCAUCUCAAAAAAAAGAAAAAAAAAACUGAUUCUGGCUGGGGGCAGUAGGUCACACUUGUAAUCCCUGCACUUUGGGAAGCCGAGGUAGGAGGAUCGUUUGAGCCCAGGAGUUUGAGACCAGCCUGGGCAACAUGGCAAGAACCUGUCUUUACAAAAAUUAAAAGAUUAGCUGGGCGUGGUGGCAGGUGCCUGUGGUUCCAGCUACUCUGGAUGCUGAGUUGAGAGAAUCACUUAAGCCCAGGAGGUCAAGGCUGCAGUGACCUGUGUUCACGCCACUGCACUCCAGCCUGAGCAACACAGUAAGACCGUCUGAACAACAACAACAAACACACCAAAAAAACUAGUUUACUUUGGAAAAGGGACUGUCUAGGUCUUUGAAGGGCUGAUACAGGAUCUGAGCUGACACUGUUUCCAGGAGCCCUGAAGCAUCAUGGCCCUCUCAUUAGGGUGCAGGCUUAUGGAAAUCAGAUGAUAAGCAGAAUUCCCAACCCAAGUCCUGUGGUUACUUCUCUGGUCUCAAUGCAUACUUGGGAUGUUUGUACCUAGCAGAGGGCGGAGCUUGUACAUUGAUCCCAGGCCUUUGGUACCAUAUGUGAGGAAGAGCAAAGUAGAAGCCUUUGAAGCUCCUCACCCUACUGAAACCUUUCCAAGAUAGUAAGUCAGAAACAAUGCUGCAUUCCAGGUGUAAUUGCAGAGGUAUUUCGCCCUCAAAGACUUAUAAAGCAGUGGUUACCAUUUCAUCCCUUCAAUUAACCUGAAUGGCUCCUGCUAAAUCUCGGUGGACUCAAGUAAAUGAUGAUGUCCUGCACAAACUUAGCCAAGUCCGUGUCCCCGAUCACACAGCUGUGCUAGGUGUGGUAUCUUUACUGGAACCGAUAAAUGCACCUCUGGCUCUUGAUAAUGCAAUUAUUGACUUGGUGAACAUUCUUUUCAAUUCCCAGUGGUAAAGAGGAUUAAAAGCAGUUCACAUUUAUAUGGGAAGGACAGCUCUGUAAAUGGUCUUGCUUCUUGCUGUUUGAAUUCUGUUCUCUGUCACAAUAGUCCUUAGGUAGCUUAUCAUUUAUAUUCUAUAUAGCAUUGAUGACGUCAUACUAGUUGGACAUGGUGAAGAAGGCCGUGCAUGUCAGAGGAUGAGCGAGAAGCCCUCAGAAGUUCUGGAGCCUGCCAUAUCAGUGACAUUCUCAGGGGUGCAGCGUUUGAGGGCAAGCCAGGGACAAGUUAUUGCAUCCUGCAUCCUUACAAGGAAGAAAGAGGCACAGCAUUGAUGCACCUGUGUGUUUUGGAGUCAGCAUGCACCACACUAGAGGAUACCUCUCUGACCCCUUUAUUGGGUAAUGGGAAAACUGCCAGCUUUGAGUGGGGCCCAGAGAAAAAGAGGGCUCUGCUAAAGAUUUGGAUUGGGAGAUGGGCUUCCCUGCUGCCUAGAUCCAAUGGGUUACCAGGGGGCUUAUUUGGGGUAGGAAGGACCCUAUAUGGCAUCUCUGGCAAACUCCAACGGAAGAGUUGCAGUGCACUGUCCUAGAGUUCUUGGACAAGACCAUGCUUCCUGCAGCAGAGAACUACUCACCAAGUGAGAGCAGUAUCAGGCACACUACCAGACACCAGACCCAGGUAGAGACCGAGCAUCUGCUGGUGGGACUUCAGUGACCAUGCGACAGGGUCUGCCCAAGCGAGCUAUUGUCAGAUCCUCCAAGUCAGUAGGUCAGAGGCUCAGUAGCGUUGAUGGUACAAUGAAAAAGGUAGCCUUGGGCUUGGACCCAAGUGUGUCUAGUGGGUAACAGUCAUUUACAGGAAGAGGUGGCAGUGUGGCCCCACAUCUGCUUUGCACUGAUAUUUCUCCCUUAGCAGACAAGCAUUCUGGUCUGGUUCGUAUAUGGGUCAGUUUGAUGUGUUGAUAUGAACUGAAAAUGAACCACAGGUACACUACAGUCCCAUUCAGGGUGACCCUAAAGGACGAUAAUAGGAAGUCCUCCAUGGGGCUGAGCUUCCAGCAGUUCAUGUAGAUAUCCACUUUGUAUGGAAGGAGUGGACAGAGUAGUGGCCUGAGGGAGGGACGCAUAUGAACUUCUGGGUUGUGACAUCCUGCUGGCUGGUCAGGGGCCUGAAAAGAGCAAGAGGGGAAGAUGGACCUACAGGAGUAGCCACACAAUAUGUGCAUCUUUCUGCCUCGUGUUAAUACUGCAGAGGAGUCGCUGAACAGCAGGGUGGAUGGGAUGUCAGUCAGCUGUGCCCCUGGCUACCCCUGUGCUUGAACAGAGGACUGUGAGUGGAGGCGUCAUGCAGAAGGAGCACAGGGUCCCAGGCCAGCAUCACUAUCCAGGAGCUUCAAGCAUGCUCCAUGUACCAACAUGGGAUCACGGAUCACAUUGCCUCAGGCCAAGAAAGCCAUUUUAUAGUGAAAGAGCCUUGGGAUCUGCUGGAUUAGAGCCUGUUUCCCAGGUAGGAACACUUCCACGAGGGCACUCCUGCUGGUUGCAGGAAGGAUACCUCCACUGAGCCUGAAUCUGCAAAGACCACCAGGUUACUCUCAGCUCCUCAUACUGGUGGACCAGCAGGCCACAAAGGAGGGGAUACUUGAUCCUGAUAAACGGUCUUCUCUGGCACCAUGGCAGCCCCCUGAGCCUGUGCCGAGAUCGUGCCACUGCACUCCAGCCUGGGCAACAGAGCUAAACUCCGUCUCAAAAAAAAAAAAAAAAGGCGAGGGGAAUACAUGCAAGAAUGGACUGUGAGGAUACAAAGCCAAGAAUGAAUUGUAGGAACCAGGACAAAAUGAAGACAUUUUUGGACAAACUGAGUUUACUACCGAAGAUUCUCAUUGAAGAAACAUUUAAAAGGUGUACUUCAGGCAAAAGGAAUUCGUAUCACAGGAUGAUCUGACAAGAAAAAAGGAAUGAAGAAUACAGAAAGAGGUGACAUUCGGGUUAUGCUUGUUUGCUGAUGGAAAUGAUCCAGAAGAGAAGGACAAGUUGACAACUGAGAGGACAUUGAGGAAAGAGCGAGGUUCAGUGGACUGGAGGUUUGUGGCGGUUUCAUGACACAUGGACUGGAGAUUUGUAGUGGUUUUAUGACACAGCUCCUAAGUUCUUUGACACUCUUCCGAUGGAGGGGUAGGGUCUGUGACCCCCCUCUUGAAGCUGGGUAGGCUUGCAACUGCUUUGACCAAUAGGCACAGCAGCAGUGAUGCUGUAGGACUUCCAAGGUUAGACUAGAAAAGGGCAUGCCCUCCAAGGAUCCUCACUCUGAUGGGAACCAGCCAUCAUGUAAGAAACUCUGCCCUUGGCUGGGUGCGGUGACUCUUGCCUGUAGUCCUAGCAUUUUGGGAAGCUGAGGUGGGUGGAUCACCUGAGGUCAGGAGUUUGAGACCAGCCUGGCCAACAUGGCGAAAACUCGCCUCUACUAAAAAUACAAAAAAAAUGAGCUGGGCGUGCUGGCAGGCACCUAUAAUCCCAGCUACUCGGGAGGCUGAGGUAGGAGAAUCACUUGAACCCGGGAGGCGAAGGUUGCAGUGAGCCAAAAUCACACCACUGCACUCCAGCCUGGGUGACAGAGCGAGACUCUUGUCUCCAAAAAAAAAAAAAAGAAAGAAAAGAAAAGAAACUACCCUGAGACCACCAUGCAGGAGAGCCCAGUGGAUAUGCUGGUGACAGCCGCAGCAGACCCCCCGGCUCACACUCAGCAUCCACUGCCAACCUUCUGAAUGAACCGUCUCAGACCUCGAGCCACGCUCACCUCCAACUGCAAACAAACCUCAAGAGACCCAGGCAAGAACUUCCCACUGGAGCCCUUCCUGAAUUUCCACCCCCAAAACAAACAAUUAUAAAUAACAACUUAAUUGUUUUAAUCCACUAAAUUUGAGGAUAAUUUGUUACACAGUAAUAGUAAUUGAAGCACAUUUCUUAUGGAGUUGAAAAAAAAAAAAAAAAAAAGGCUUGACACAGUGGCUCACGCCUGUAAUCCCAGCACUUUGGGAGGCUGAGGUGAGUGGAUUGCUUGAGCUCAGGAGUUUGAGACCAGGCUGAGCAACAUGAUGAAACCCUGUCUCUACAAAAAAUAAAAACAUUAGCCAGGUGUGGUGGCACACACCUGUAGUCCAACUACUCUGAGGAAUGAAGUGGGGGAAUUGCUUGAACCUAGGAGGCAGAGGUUGCAGUGAGCUGAGAUUGCACCACUACGUUCUUGCCUGGGUGACAGAGCAAGACCCUGUCUCAAAAAAAAAAACAAAAAAACGUAGGUAUUGUAGUAAUGCAGCAAGAGACCAAGAAAAGUAGGAGGCAGUGAUCAGAGACCUGGCUGCAUAAAAGUCAAGAUUCGGGAAAUGGUGGCGUUAGGACGUCACCAUGGUGAAGGUAGAGCUCUUAAUUUUCAUCUUUAUUAAAUACGUCUGUUUGCAGUUUUAACCAUUGGCAUAUUUAUUUUGUGUUUGUGAUUUCUGUGAAAUAUGAGUACAAUAAAGACUGAUAG